rnacentral:rRNA from 1 species
GAUGAACGCUGGCGGCGUGCCUAAUACAUGCAAGUCGAGCGAACAGACGGAGAUGCUUGCACCUCCUGACGUUAGCGGCGGACGGGUGAGUAACACGUGGGUAACCUACCUAUAAGACUGGGAUAACUUCGGGAAACCGGAGCUAAUACCGGAUAAUAUUUAGCUUCGCAUGAAGCAAUAGUGAAAGACGGUUUUGCUGUCACUUAUAGAUGGACCCGCGGUGUAUUAGCUAGUUGGUGAGGUAACAGCUCACCAAGGCAACGAUACAUAGCCGGCCGGGACGGGGGAUCGGCCACACUGGGACUGAGACACGGCGCGGACUCCUACGGGAGGCAGCAGUAGGGAAUCUUCCGAAAUGGACGAAAGUCUGACGGAGCAACGCCGCGUGAGUGAAGAAGGUUUUCGGAUCGUAAAACUCUGUUGUAAGGGAAGAACAAGUACGUUAGUAACUGAACGUACCUUGACGGUACCUUACCAGAAAGUCACGGCUAACUACGUGCCAGCCGCCGCAGUAACAC